ACGCUGGCGGCAGGCCUAACACAUGCAAGUCGAGCGGUAGCACAGAGAGCUUGCUCUCGGGUGACGAGCGGCGGACGGGUGAGUAAUGUCUGGGAAACUGCCUGAUGGAGGGGGAUAACUACUGGAAACGGUAGCUAAUACCGCAUAAUGUCGCAAGACCAAAGUGGGGGACCUUCGGGCCUCAUGCCAUCAGAUGUGCCCAGAUGGGAUUAGCUGGUAGGUGGGGUAACGGCUCACCUAGGCGACGAUCCCUAGCUGGUCUGAGAGGAUGACCAGCCACACUGGAACUGAGACACGGUCCAGACUCCUACGGGAGGCAGCAGUGGGGAAUAUUGCACAAUGGGCGCAAGCCUGAUGCAGCCAUGCCGCGUGUGUGAAGAAGGCCUUCGGGUUGUAAAGCACUUUCAGCGGGGAGGAAGGCGGUGAGGUUAAUAACCUCAUCGAUUGACGUUACCCGCAGAAGAAGCACCGGCUAACUCCGUGCCAGCAGCCGCGGUAAUACGGAGGGUGCAAGCGUUAAUCGGAAUUACUGGGCGUAAAGCGCACGCAGGCGGUCUGUCAAGUCGGAUGUGAAAUCCCCGGGCUCAACCUGGGAACUGCAUUCGAAACUGGCAGGCUAGAGUCUUGUAGAGGGGGGUAGAAUUCCAGGUGUAGCGGUGAAAUGCGUAGAGAUCUGGAGGAAUACCGGUGGCGAAGGCGGCCCCCUGGACAAAGACUGACGCUCAGGUGCGAAAGCGUGGGGAGCAAACAGGAUUAGAUACCCUGGUAGUCCACGCUGUAAACGAUGUCGAUUUGGAGGUUGUGCCCUUGAGGCGUGGCUUCCGGAGCUAACGCGUUAAAUCGACCGCCUGGGGAGUACGGCCGCAAGGUUAAAACUCAAAUGAAUUGACGGGGGCCCGCACAAGCGGUGGAGCAUGUGGUUUAAUUCGAUGCAACGCGAAGAACCUUACCUGGUCUUGACAUCCACAGAACUUASCAGAGAUGCUUUGGUGCCUUCGGGAACUGUGAGACAGGUGCUGCAUGGCUGUCGUCAGCUCGUGUUGUGAAAUGUUGGGUUAAGUCCCGCAACGAGCGCAACCCUUAUCCUUUGUUGCCAGCGGUUAGGCCGGGAACUCAAAGGAGACUGCCAGUGAUAAACUGGAGGAAGGUGGGGAUGACGUCAAGUCAUCAUGGCCCUUACGACCAGGGCUACACACGUGCUACAAUGGCAUAUACAAAGAGAAGCGACCUCGCGAGAGCAAGCGGACCUCAUAAAGUAUGUCGUAGUCCGGAUUGGAGUCUGCAACUCGACUCCAUGAAGUCGGAAUCGCUAGUAAUCGUAGAUCAGAAUGCUACGGUGAAUACGUUCCCGGGCCUUGUACACACCGCCCGUCACACCAUGGGAGUGGGUUGCAAAAGAAGUAGGUAGCUUAACCUUCGGGAGGGCGCUUACCACUUUGUGAUUCAUGACUGGG
rnacentral:rRNA from 1 species